rnacentral:rRNA from 1 species
GUCUACGGCCAUGCCACCCUCAACGUGCCCGAUCUUGUCUGAUCUCAGAAGCUAAGCAGGGUCGGGCCUGGUUAGUACUUGGAUGGGAGACCACUUAGGAAUACCAGGUGCUGUAGGAG